CUACGGGGCGCUCCAGUGGGGAAUAUUGCACAAUGGAGGAAACUCUGAUGCAGCAACGCCGCGUGGAGGAUGACACUUUUCGGAGCGUAAACUCCUUUUAUAUAGGAAGAUAAUGACGGUACUAUAUGAAUAAGCACCGGCUAACUCCGUGCCAGCAGCCGCGGUAAUACGGAGGGUGCAAGCGUUACUCGGAAUCACUGGGCGUAAAGAGCGUGUAGGAGGGUUAAUAAGUCAGAAGUGAAAUCCUAUGGCUCAACCAUAGAACUGCUUUUGAAACUGUUAACCUAGAGUGUGGGAGAGGUAGAUGGAAUGUCUGGUGUAGGGGUAAAAUCCGUAGAGAUCAGAAGGAAUACCGAUUGCGAAGGCGAUCUACUGGAACAUAACUGACGCUGAGACGCGAAAGCGUGGGGAGCAAACAGGAUUAGAUACCCCAGUAGUC
rnacentral:rRNA from 1 species